rnacentral:rRNA from 1 species
GACGACGACGUGAGGCGGUAGGAUUAGCAUGCAAGUCGAACGGUAUCAUCCUUCGGGGGUGAGAGAGUGGCGAACUGGUGAGUAACACGUAGGUUAUCUACCCUCAAGACGGGACAACCCAGGGAAACUUGGGCUAAUACCGGAUGUGAGCAACUUUUAGUUGUUUGAAAGGUGGCGUAAGCUGUCGCUUGGGGAUGAGCCUGCGUCCUAUUAGUUAGUUGGUGAGGUAACGGCUCACCUAGGCAAUGAUAGGUAGGCGGCCUUAACGGGUGGUCGCCCACACUGGGAUUGAGAUACGGCCCAGACUCCUACGGGAGGCAGCAGUCGAGAAUAGUCUACAAUGGUCGGAAGACUGAUAGUGCGACGCCGCGUGAACGAUGAAUCCCUUCGGGGUGUAAAGUUCUUUUAUAUGUGAGCAGUGCUUCUUAUAUUAACAGUAUGGGGAGAGAGAUAUUAGCAUAUGAAUAAGCAACGGCUAACUCCGUG